GAUGAACGCUAGCGGGAGGCCUAACACAUGCAAGCCGAGCGGUAUUGUUUCUUCGGAAAUGAGAGAGCGGCGUACGGGUGCGUAACACGUGUGCAACCUGCCUUUAUCUGGGGGAUAGCCUUUCGAAAGGAAGAUUAAUACUCCAUAAUAUAUUGAACGGCGUCGUUUAAUAUUGAAAGCUCCGGCGGAUAGAGAUGGGCACGCGCAAGAUUAGCUAGUUGGUGAGGUAACGGCUCACCAAGGCGAUGAUCUUUAGGGGGCCUGAGAGGGUGAUCCCCCACACUGGUACUGAGACACGGACCAGACUCCUACGGGAGGCAGCAGUGAGGAAUAUGGGUCAAUGGGUGCAAGCCUGAACCAGCCAUCCCGCGUGAAGGACGACUGCCCUAUGGGUGGUAAACUUCUUUUGUAUAGGGAUAAACCUACCCUCGAGAGGGUAGCUGAAGGUACUAUACGAAUAAGCACCGGCUAACUCCGUG
rnacentral:rRNA from 1 species